rnacentral:lncRNA from 1 species
AUAGCUGAAAGGACCAAUUAAGAUCAAAUAGAUCCAUAGAUUAAUUCAUACAUAUCAUGAUGAACAUAUUAGGCAUUACAUCAUGUGGCUAGUAAGUGAAUAACAUUUUAAUAAUUGUCGAAAUAAAUCUAACUAGUAAAUCCAAACCAAAAUCAGAUAAUCAGUAAAAUCAAACACCAUUUCAAACUAAACCAAAUAUAAAAAUACAAAUAUGAGAGAGAAGAAUACAAACGUAUCUAAGGCACCAAAACAACACUGAUGAACAAAUAAUGGUCCAAAAGAAGAAGGCGAAUUUCAGCAGUAGGAUCAACACAAGAAAAAGUUGCAGCGUCAGCUCGCAACCCCAACACAAACUUGGGAAACCAACGAAUAUCGAAGCAAAGUAGUGGAAAUUAGAAGCAAGCUUUUUGCACCCCUUUUUUUGUUUUUUUUUCUCUUGUCUUCAGAUCUAGGAUUUUGAACUCCUUUUGUGUGUCAUUGUUGUUGGAAUUCUGGUCAGUUUCAUGGCCAUUUGGGUCAUUUUUUGACCAUUUCUAGCUGGUUUCUCACAGUUAUUGUUGCUGCAUUUUUUGCUUAGUUGUUGCAACUAAGUUUUUGGGUUUUUUAAUUGAGGAAGAUGGCUGUUUUUCAGUAAAUUUACAGCUACUUUUGAGGCGUCAUUGGGGGUAGUUCGAAGCUGAUUUUUGAGAUGAGAGAGCUGCUCAUUUUUUAUAUUUGUUAGGGAUUGUUUCAGAUACCUUCUGAAGUGAUUUUGGGAUGAGGUCCUCUCUUGCUCCGCUGCUCUGUAAUUUUCAGCGGGAGAGGGUUCAGAUUCUGUGAGGUGAGCUGAAGAAGAAGAAGAAAGAGGGGACUCGUUUAAGGGUGCCGUUUUUUUCUCUGCUUGGGGUCAGGUGGAUCUGUUAGGUCUAGAC